rnacentral:rRNA from 1 species
CAGCAGCCGCGGUAAAACGUAGGUGGCAAGCGUUGUCCGGAAUUAUUGGGCGUAAAGGGCUCGCAGGCGGUUUCUUAAGUCUGAUGUGAAAGCCCCCGGCUCAACCGGGGAGGGUCAUUGGAAACUGGGAAACUUGAGUGCAGAAGAGGAGAGUGGAAUUCCACGUGUAGCGGUGAAAUGCGUAGAGAUGUGGAGGAACACCAGUGGCGAAGGCGACUCUCUGGUCUGUAACUGACGCUGAGGAGCGAAAGCGUGGGGAGCGAACAGGAUUAGAUACCCCUGUAGUCCCUGUCUCUUAUAA